GUCCCUUUCGGGCGGGACCGGGCGGUGUGAGGGCUGAGGGGAGGGCGCUCGGUCUCGGGGAGAGCUGCUGGGCCGAGCGGUGCUCCGCCGCGGGCCCUGGCGCUACUGCCGGUGGGCAGGAGCCGGGCAGGCCUGGGGGAGGUUCCUCCUCACAGGAGAAAUUGACCGCUUAUUUACAAUGAAAAUGGAAAGGGAAUUAUUAACUAAGGAGAUGUAAAAGCAAGUUGCCUUGUGAUGUGGAAGGACUGUGUCCCCAUUCUGCAGAAUGCGUGUGAAGAAAGUACUGCUGCUUUACUUUGCCAGGAUGUAGGUUAUUCAGAAUUAAUUCUCAUGUCAGCAGAAAGCUCAACCAUCACAGUCCGUCUUGUUCGCUCUUUUGAACACCGGAACUUCAGACCUGUGGUGUAUCAUGGAGUUAACUUGGAUCAGACAGUAAAGCAGUUCAUGAAUUUUGUGCAGAAGGAUGUGCCUUCAAGAACGGGACUUCCUCCACCUUUCAAAAAUUACAAGUAUGAUACAAUGAAGAUUAUUCACCAAGCACACAAAUCUAAGACCGGUGAACUUAUAGUGAGUUUGGAAGAUGAUGACAAACUGAUUUUGAAAGAAGACAGUACACUGAAAGCAGCUGGAGUAGAAGAGGAAGUCCUUGACCUACUGGGUUGAAAGAAUUGUGACUGCUCUGAACCUUUGUGGGUCCUUUAGCUCUGCCAUAUCCCCUGUGAAUAAUUAGAGGUAUUUGAAGCAAAUGAGACCGAAUUAGCAUUCUUCUGUGAGGAAGAUUACAGAAACUACAAAGCUAAUCCUGUUUCGGCCUGGUGAAGAUCCCAAGAGAUUAUUUUGUUUUCCCAUACCUGUUGUAAAUUUUCCUUAUGCUGCUUAAUGAGAUUUUUCUUAAAGAUCAAUAAAUCCUAGAGGAUUGCUUUGCAAACAGUGCAAUUCCCUUCCUAUAGAAAUUAAUUUCUGUCAAUAUGCUCAGACUGAGAGAAGGAAAACUGGGGGACAUAAAUGACUUCUUUCUCGCAUUUCUUUUUCCUUUGCUUGCCUCUUAGGAUGCAGGCAGCGCAAUCUCUGACCUGUGACACAUGUUCUUGGUGCGAUCCUACAGCAGACAUUAGCUACAUACUGACAUUAUACAAUGCACAGCGAGAUCCCAUCGCAGUACUAACUUCUAAUGAAAAUGGAAACGUUUUAUGACCAAAUCACUGGGUAUUUUAGAGAGCUUGCGAAGAGAAUCUCUCUGUUUCAAGUCAUAGCUUUACUUCUCUCAUUUUAUGUUUGGUGUCUUUUGUUUAAAUGGUGCAGACUGGCAAGUGUUUCAUGCUCUUCACUGCUGAAUGCUUUCCUUUGUACUCUCCUGCAGCCCUCUGUAGCAUGCUGAAAGGGACAAAUGACUGUUGGGAGGCUUUCGUCUUCAAGGACCCAGCUCAUCUGUUUCUAGCUUUACAUCACGAUGAUACCUUCACGGAAGAGGCAGCAACCUGAGUUCUGCCAGGACCUCAGUGUGCAUAAGUAGGAAUUGGGCAUUUUUCCAAAUGGAGUGAAAGCUCAUGGUUUCAGUUUUAAGGAUAAAACCUGAAUGAUUCCAUUUUUGUGAGGGGAGGCCCAGUCUGAGAGCCACGUCUUCAAGACUGGAAUUGAUUCUUUCCUGCUUUCCAAGAGCCAAAUACUCAUUUGCUAUAUGUUAGUUCUUGGAAAUUCCAGGCUCUCCGACUACAUUAACCAAAUCAAGAAUAAGAAAAAAUAAUCAUGCAUCCAAGAAAGUACCUUUAGAUAGAUACUGCUUGUGAAACUGCUUUUUAGGGGGUACCAAGAUGGGACACUGUGCCUUUAAGCCUCUCUUCACUGAAACAGAAGUGAUGCUGGCUCUCUGCCUUAUCAGGUUCUUGGGCAUAGGCUCUGCUAAAUCAAAUGAGACCUCACGUGCCAUUGCUUUAGACCCACACAUCUACCCUCAGCUCUGGGCGAGAGCUGACACCACCAUUUUCACAAGAGACUUUCCAGAGAAGUAAGUUUACUGUUUCCUAGAGCUUUGAUGAUUUUUUUUUUUUUAUUAUUGACAUGUGAUAGUGAAAGCAGAUGUGUGAUUUCCAAAGUAUCUAAAUAAAAGUUCUCUUUACUUUAGAUGUAAGAAACCUCUGUGUAUUGUUCCCACCUCAUUUGCUUCAUCCUUCCUGACAACUCUCUGGUUUAGGCUGAUUUGGUAGCUGGUGUUACUCACCAACAGCUUUGCUUCAGAGUUUUAUUCUCUUGUGAAAGUGGUCUACCACUUUGUCAUCUGCGAUUAAAAGGGUGAUUGUAUCUGUAUCUUGUAAUGUUAUGCCUGCUCUGAUGAAUUUGUGAGGAGAACUUACCACUUGUCCCCUCCUUCUGUCCAGGCUGCCUUUCUGUUGCUGGUACCUGCUCCCCAAGCACGGGCCCGUGUCUCAGCUCUCUUCUUACACAUUCUGUCAUGUUUGCAGAUUAAUCUGGUUGAUGUGAGUUUGUACGCAUCUUCUCAGACAGUUUAAGCUAAUGCAUUGCACUCCAGAGUAUACCAGCUUUGUUCAGCCAAAUUUACAAUAAUGAAGGUAACUUUGUAAGAAGUAGAUGGCUACCAGAGAGAUCAAUGUCUCAGACUGUCUUACCAAGGCAUGAUGAUGUCUGUCAGCACACUCAGGCUCUCGGACUGAGCAAACACUGUCAUUCUUUUCCUUCUGUUCUGGGGAUUUGAAUUUGGUCUCCAGCCCUUUCAGACAGACUUGGACUGGUUUUGUGAUCCCUUUUCUCCAAGGCAUUUAUUUGUGUUUGAAAGACUCACCAAAUUUUAACAGCUAUCCUUUCUGGGCUAGUACAGUUACAAACAUUCAGUGCCACAUCGAGUAUGGCACAGUGGAAGAGCAAUUCUACACCAUCAGUGAGAAAACGGUAAAUGUUUUGAUGCAAAUAUUUAAGAAUGAUGUGUCUGGCACUCCAGAUUAGCUUCUCUUUCCAAGGGAAGAGUUAAACUACUGCUUUGUGAGCUCAGUUCACUCUGGCAAUGGCACUUCAUUGGCUCCUUUCUGCAGCAGCACAGUAGAGUCUUUUGUAAUGCUCUCAAUGGCCAUACUUGUAAACUGGCUUCUUCACAAAGUGUUUUUCUACUGUGGUUUUUUUUUUUUUAAUUGGACUUUUAAUAAUGCUUCUUUCAAAUGACCCCCACAAAACCACACAUAAUAACUGAGAACUUGUUAAGAUAGAUGCUGUUCCAACAUUUCUUGGUGGGAUAUGUUAUAGCCUUGUGUCGAAGUAGGUUUGAUUCCAGGAUUGCUGAACACUGAAUGAAAUCUGUGAACGCUGGCAAAUAAAUUACUAGACUGAGAUGUAUUUGCCCAUGUUGUUAUGAAAUCCUCUUUCUAUGGAAGGAAACCACCUAUGGAGUUGGUACCAUGGUCUGUUGUCCUGGCAGAGGUCAUAAACUACAUCUGUUUACAAUUACUGUUAAUCAAAGGUGGCUUCUCCAUAAUGUGUAGUGGGGUAAGUCGUAUAGCUUUGCUAGUGUUCUUAGACAUUGUGGCAUUAAUAAGGAUUCAUCUUUCAGUAUGAUGUCCCUAGAGCUUUUCACCAGUCUUUUUUAAAAAAAAAAACAAAAAACAAACAAACAAAAACCAAACCCCAAAAAGAACAGUAUCCAGAGUGGACACUGACAUAACAUACAACUUCUGGGUUAUAACACUGUAGCAGGGGAGGGCAGUCAAACUGGAAGCUGGUUGUGUUUGGGAGGCUUGGGUGUUUCUUGGAGAAAAAAAAUCACUUCAGAAAGGCUGGAGUUUUGGUUACGAGGUGUGGAAGAACAGGUACUAAGGGAGAAGAGAGGAAAUCAGGAAAGGAAUUAUCAUGAAGAGGAAGAAGAGGUACCAGUGUAACUAAAUAAACACAAUGUCUUUGAUGUAAAGCACUCUUGGCACAAAUACUGGAGUAGUGCUGCUUUUUUUUAGCACUAAAGGUGUGAAAAUGGUGCAUUUUAAUAAUUUUUGGAAUUGAACUCAUGAACUGCUGAAAUAGGCAUCUUGUUUUUUCUGGCUUUGUCAUGUUAUACUUUCUGCAUGCAACAGUUGUGUAUUUUUCUGUUGCCUCUUGAAGAAGCAAGAGUGAAGAAAACUGCGGAUGUGAAUAGCUGAGUUAAAUGUUGACAAUUACCAAUGGCAUAUGGGAGUCCUCAAAGAUCUGAUAUGUGCCACCGUUAAAGUUGCGGAACUGCUUUAUCUGAUGUAAACAUUCUGUCUUAAAGGUGGUCCAGAGAUAUGUUGUAAGCUGUGGUGUUUCUCUUUCACUCCUCGGGAAUGUUCAGCGCAUCCCCUGACAGAUCGUUUACUUAAAAAUGAGUUUGCAAGUAACAGUCCAGGAGUUACCCCAGCCAUGACAGGACAUCCGUGGGUCCUGUCCUUGGAAGCUAAUAGCCACAGAAAUCCUGAGUGUCCAGAGAUCAAGAAUGAAAACCCAGAACAUUCGAUGCUCGCUCUUGGUCUCAUGUGACUGACAGGAUCCUGGCUUCAGAGCCACGGCAGCCGGCUGGAGGCAUUGCAAAUGCUUCAGGCAAGUGCACACUUUUGCUUAUUGAACACUUUUGGACUGAGCUCAGUCUUCCUGGUUGGCACCUGAUUCUCCUUCCACGACUUCGUUUUCGUAGUACUACUUGGCACAGAUUUGCAAGCGAUUAAUGAGUCAAGCAAUGAUGCCCAGUAGACAACUUUGCUGCUUUUCAUAUUGUCAGGAUGUUGACUGUUCCUUACUACUUUCCUGCUGAGAAACAGACACACCUUUGCAUGUUUUCCCUGCUGCUUUCCUUUGCUUCUUGCUGACACCUCUGCUGAUUUGCAGUGCUUUAAUGGUUAGGUUUGCACCUCAUCUGAUAUGCAAUAGCAGCAUUUCCUGUGGCAGUGAAUGUAGAUUUUUAUUUUUUUUUUAUUCAUGAAGAAAUACGCUUUGAAAUAAAGAGAAGACCUUUUCUACACUGUCACUAAUAGAGCAAAACAAAGGAUCUUUUCUUUCUUUACAGGAGGACUUGCACAGGAGAGCACUGUCCACUGGUCAGUGGAAACAAAAAUGUUUUUAUCAUAAUGCUUUGUAUCUUGGAAGGAAAUGAGAGCAGUUACAUUGGGAAUGCAAAAAAAAAUGCAGUGAAAAGCCAAGACCUAUUGCCAUAAAUUGUCUUUGUCUGCAGAGAAAGCCACCAGAUGUCAGCACAGCCUGUUCUUUCAUUCUCCAGAACGUGUGUAAGCCAAGAAAUAUGUAAUGUUUAUGAAAAGUGCUUAUCUGUGAAUUGGUUUAGCCUGCAAAGUCAGUACUAGGGUUCUGGUGAUGAAAGCUGAAUCUUUCCUUGCAGAAAGUAUUUCUUUUUAUAUUAAAAUCAAAAAGCGGCAAAUUGAACUGGUAUCGGUGCUUAAAUUCCUCUUGUUAGAGAGCAUCCUUUGCGAAGCCAGUUCCAGCGUAUCUAAAUCUUCGCAUGCUGUGAGGAGGCAUUUGCAGAACAUUCAUUUGAAGAAUUGUCUGGAAAAGAUCAGUGUUAAUUUGCUGAGGUUUUGUCAAGUAGACUGUAAGUAUGCCUAUUUUUUUUUUUAAACACAAGGAAAACCACCAAGAACAGACACACAUGCAAAGCAGAGCAAAACUCUUCAGCAACACAGCUUAAACACACAACAAAUGUAUCCUCCAUGCUUCUGACCUUAAGCUCCUACUAUUUCUUCCAUGUAGUGCAAGAGCUGAGGAGAACCUGGCACUGCGUUUUCUGGGCCAUGCUUUCUGAGCUGUGAUGAGCUGAGAUUGGAUACGAGUUUUGGAGCCCAAACCCAAGCACUGUGCACAGCUUUAUGCUGUCAGUGAUUGAAGUGCGCGUAGGCGCUGCCUGGUUAAAAGGUAAAUUUGAAUUGUUGCACAGGGACAAGGUGUGACGGAGCUUUCUGCUGAGAUUCCUGUCACUUUUCUUGCAGCAGCUUGCAAAUGCCAGGGAGACUCUCAAAGACUCCCUGGAAGUGUUCAAGGCCAGGCUGGAUGGGGCUUUGAGCAGCCUGGUCUAGUGGGAGGUGUCCCUGCCCAGGGCAGGGGGCUGGAACUAGAUGAGCUUUAAAGUCCUUUCCAACCCAAACCAUUCUGUGAUUCUGUAAAGUGGCAGGUAGAGCCUGGGUGACCUAAAUUCUUCCUUCCUUCUGUUUUGGGCUGCUUCUUUCAUUCCUUUCUUCUAGCCUGGUAGCAUCGGUGUCAUGCUAGGGGUUUACCACAGCUUGCUGUGUAUGAGAACUGCGUAUCGAUUCCAAACUAUCGCUAUAACCCUCAAACACCAUUCACAAUCCGGAGGUGAUGGAUAGCAGAUUGCAGCUGUGCAGCCUUGUGCUGACUGCAGGGGAAGGCUGCUGCAUGCACGGGUGCAGCCAGCACGGUGCUGCAGGUUGUUUGGGAGGUGUUGGUCCCGCUUCUCUUCCAUCUGCACAGCACCCGGUUCUGCUUUGCUGGGGAGCAGGACCUUGUCUUGAAGCACAGCACGUGUGACAGGCAGCUGAGAGGAGAAGUGGGUGUUUGGGCUGGUGAUGCAGUGGGGGAGAGCAUGGGGCAUAAAGCUUUCAUCUUCCUGUAGGUAUGGUAUUUUUUAUCAGAUAUGGGUGGUACCUUUUAUUUGCUAGCAUCCUCUCUCUCUGAUAGUAAUGGAUUCUUUCCUUUGUACUGGCCCAAAAGCAGCUAGCCAGAAGAGUGGGAGCUUCAAUGGCUAGCGAAUACAUUCAGUGUGACAGAUUACUGUAAGAAUUUACCUUUGUAU